CACAUACGUGCUGACGAGUGCAAGAGAGUCUGAGACGAGUGGGACAAGGAAACGAGGGGGGGAGAUGUCACACGCCUCAGCGGGGUUGCUGUGCCUUUGUUGGUAUUUAUUAUUAUGUGGAGGAGGUGCAGUGCAGAAGUAGAUCGGAGGGAAUUUCUACCAUUCAGCGCAUGAAUACGUCGACCGACAGUGGAGUGGAGGGGAGUCCUCCUCUCGCCGGCCCCGGCAGCAUCUUCUUCUCCUUCUGUCAAUUUCUCUUCCGAUUAGAGAUCCAUUGAUUGAUUCUUAACAAUCUUUCUUCUCUCUCUCUCUCACUGAUUGCUGAAUUUGUUUGCGAUUGAAUCGAUGUGUUGUGUUCUGAGUUAAAAAAGAAAGCCAAUUAGCAGAGCCAACGCGUCGACGAACAAGAAUGGCGCGCGUUGCCUCGAAGGUUGGGCGACAAAAAAAAUUUGUCCAUGGCGAUUCUCCGAGCCUGUCAAAUCUCUCUCGGUUUUGAUCACGGCCUCGAACAAGUCGCUACAUUUCAUCAUCAAUUCAAUCCUAUUCGAUUCAAUUCAUCCUCUCCUUGAGCUACGUUUGCUUGAUCUCGAGUCUCUCUCCCGAUUUCAGGAGCUCUUUCAAUACCAAAAGUUCUGCAGAAAAAGAAAAGAAAAGAAAAGAAAAGGUGUUUCUUCGGAAAAAUUAAGAAUCAAAUAUGUAAAAGCCCGAUCAAGGGAGGGAAUAGCACAGUGGUGCACCUCUCGCCUGAUAACCAAGAGAUCUCAGGUUCGAUACCAGUGGAACUACCUAUGCCCCUUUAUUAAAUAUUUAUGAUUUAUAUUUCAAUGUACUAAACCUAUGAGUCUCUCUUGUAAUCGGGAAAAAAAAAUGUAAAAGCCCAAUGAGUGUUGAACUGAUCCAAAAAUGCCAAUUUGAUAGUUGUUUUCGGAUUCA